CUCCUACGGGGGGCAGCAGUGGGGAAUAUUGCACAAUGGGCGAAAGCCUGAUGCAGCAACGCCGCGUGAAGGAAGAAGGCCUUCGGGACGUAAACUUCUGUCCUUGGGGAAGAAGAACUGACGGUACCCAAGGAGGAAGCCCCGGCUAACUACGUGCCAGCAGCCGCGGUAAUACGUAGGGGGCAAGCGUUAUCCGGAAUUAUUGGGCGUAAAGCGCACGCAGGCGGUUUGUUAAGUCAGAUGUGAAAUCCCCGGGCUCAACCUGGGAACUGCAUCUGAUACUGGCACGCUCGAGUCUCGGAGAG
rnacentral:rRNA from 1 species